rnacentral:rRNA from 1 species
AGUGAACGCUGGCGGCAUGCCUUACACAUGCAAGUCGAACGGUAACAGGUCUUAGGGUGCUGACGAGUGGCGAACGGGUGAGUAAUACAUCGGAACGUGCCUAGUAGUGGGGGAGAACUACUCGAAAGAGUGGCUAAUACCGCAUGAGAUCUGCGGGUGAAAGCAGGGGAUCGAAGGACCUUGUGCUACUAGAGCGGCCGAUGGCAGAUUAGGUAGUUGGUGGGAUAAAAGCUUACCAAGCCGACGAUCUGUAGCUGGUCUGAGAGGACGAUCAGCCACACUGGGACUGAGAGACGGCCCAGACUCCUACGGGAGGCAGCAGUGGGGAAUUUUGGACAAUGGGCGAAAGCCUGAUCCAGCAAUGCCGCGUGCAGGAUGAAGGCCUUCGGGUUGUAAACUGCUUUUGUACGGAACGAAAAGCUCUGGGUUAAUACCCUGGGGUCAUGACGGUACCGUAAGAAUAAGCACCGGCUAACUACGUGCCAGCCGCCGCAGUAAGAC